rnacentral:rRNA from 1 species
UACGUAGGGGGCGAGCGUUGUCCGGAAUCAUUGGGCGUAAAGCGCGUGUAGGCGGCCCGGUAAGUCCGCUGUGAAAGUCCAGGGCUCAACCCUGGGAUGCCGGUGGAUACUGUCGGGCUUGAGUCCGGAAGGGGCGAGUGGAAUUCCUGGUGUAGCGGUGAAAUGCGCAGAUAUCAGGAGGAACACCAAUGGCGAAGGCAGCUCGCUGGAACGGUACUGACGCUGAGGCGCGAAAGCGUGGGGAGCGAACAGG